rnacentral:rRNA from 1 species
CCUGAGAAACGGCUACCACAUCCAAGGAAGGCAGCAGGCGCGCAAAUUACCCAAUCCCGACUCGGGGAGGUAGUGACAAUAAAUAACAAUGCCGGUCCUUUCAUUGGUCCGGCAAUUGGAAUGAGUACAAUCCAAACCCCUUAACGAGGAACAAUUGGAGGGCAAGUCUGGUGCCAGCAGCCGCGGUAAUUCCAGCUCCAAUAGCGUAUAUUAAAGUUGUUGCAGUUAAAAAGCUCGUAGUUGGAUUUCGGGGCCCCGGGCGCUCGUUGCGUUGCCUGCUGGACUUGUCCGGUGGGUGCGUGGCGGUCGUCGGUCUCUGAGUCGGAUCGGUCCGCCGAGAGGCGUGCACUGACCGACGGCCCCUGUUGUCUCUCGGGUUGCCCGCCUGCACUUAAUUGUUGCGGACGGGGAGUUCGGGACGUUUACUUUGAACAAAUUAGAGUGUUCCAAGCAGGCCGGUUGCUUUGAAUACAUUAGCAUGG